ensembl:lncRNA
GACAAAGUCUCACACACUGGGUAAUGGUCACCAAUGGAAUCAGCCACAAGUUUUGUGCUCUUUUUUUCAGGGAUCAGAAAAUUAGUAAUUGCAAACCAUGGAUGAAAUUUAUAAGAUCGCUUCCACAGAAAGGAUCCAGGUGUUGGAAAAAGAACUGGCUACACAAUUGACUGAACUGAAGUCUGAGAUAGAAGAACAAUGGACUCUCCAGGGGUCAGCUCAUCAAACUUACAGCUCUGUUCGAAUGCCAAAGGACAUCUCUUACUUUAGAAGAGAAAGGGAACUGGCCCUAAAGAAAACUUUACAGGUGGCUGAGUCAAAGUCCCUUGUUAUUCAAUCAGAUGUCAUGCAGAGGGAGCUAGAGAGCUGCCUAAGGAGAGAGUACACUCCUGAAAAUUUACCUUUGCUUCUGUUGCAGCAUUAUACAGAGAGAAUUACCCAGCUGGCCCAGAGUAAAUAUUUACACAUGCUUAGGUGGAAGAGAUUUUGCCAUCACAGUAAGAUCAUGGAGCAACUUUAUCCUUUUUACAAGGCUCUCCAGUAUUUACCCAUCUCCAAAGCUCUGAGUGUAGCUGUUGACGAAGUCCCUGAGGUUGGUCAGGAAAAUGAAAGUUUCCUGUUGAUGACACUGACCCUGACAUCCAGGGUUCUGCAUCUCCAGACUCUACGAAUGCCAGUGUUUCAGGGCCAAUGAGAACAGAAACUGCUUUCGUUCUGCCCCAACACACAACAGAAACAGAAGAACUGAAACCUCAGCUGAGGCUUCUGCUCUCGCAUUUCAGUAUCUCUUAUGACGUGGAAGAGCUGAGCGAUGCUUCUAAGGAGACAGAACUUUUUGCCUUGGUUUCCCCAAAAUUUCAAAGCAUCUUCAUGGAACAACAGAGAAUGCAAACGUUUCCAGACUAUAAUGCUGGGAUAGCUAAAGUGGAAAAUUUGAAUUUGGCAGGACCUCGUAGGGCCUUGAAAAAGGGAGCCAACUGGACUUCCUUUAUAAAGAUUAAGCCAAAAUGUGAUCCUUGGCAAAAGAAGCUUUUGACCAAACUAAAAGAACGGAGAAGAAUAGAUGUAUUAAUGCAACUCCAAGCAAAGUUUUUGAAGAUUUCCAAUCCUGAGCGAGUAAUGCAAGUGCUCCAGGAUCAUGCUGCAAAGACAGUCUUGCUGGCUUCAUCUCAUCCAACAUGUGUGGCUUCCCAGGGCAACUAUGACCAAAUCUGGGAGACUAUUUAUAGCAACAUCAACCUCUACCAGGUACAACAGGAAGAAAUAACCAAUAUGCCUUUCUGUUCAACUCACCACCUGUUUAUAGACCUUAGAAAUUUACUUUGGUAGGUUUUUAGAGAUCCUCCCCCAAAAGAGGAAUAUAAAGAAGUAUAAUACAAUAUAUUCUUGCUACCAAGGUUUAUACUCAAGGGAUAAGUACCAAUGCAGAGUUGCGCACUCUAGUGCUGAAUACUAGUGAGUUGGACAUGGCUCAGAUGGUAAAGCAUCUGCCCACAACUCAGGAGACCCGGGGUUCAAUCCCUGGUUGGGAAGAUCCCCUGGAGAAGGAAAUGGCAACCCACUCCAGUAUUCUUGCCUGGAAAAUCCCAUGGACGAGCCUGGUAGGAGAAAUCUUUUCCUAUAGUCCAUGGGGUUGCAAAGAGUCGACCAUAACUGAGUGACUUUACUUUCACUUUCACUGUCUUUAAAUAUUGUGAGUGUUUACAGGGAAUGUGGUCUUCACAGGGUUGGUUCUAUUGGGGGAAAUCUCUUGAAGGAGGAGGAAAUUGAGCUGGGCUUGAAGGAAGCAAACUUUCUGCCUUAGUCUCAUUCAGCACAUGUGGCUUCCCAGGGCAACUAUGACCAAAUAUGGGAGAUUUGGUCAUAAAUAUAUAGCAACAUCAACCUCCACCAGGUACAACAGGAAGAAAUAACCAAUAUGCCUUUCUGUUCACCUCACCAUCUGUUUAUAGACCUUAGAAAUUUUCUUUGAGCCACUAGAGACUUCCCUGCUGGCUCAGAUGGUGAAGCGUCUGCCUACAAGGCAGGAGAUCCAGGUUAGUCCCUGGGUUGGAAAGAUCUCCUGGAGAAGGAAACGGCAACCCACUCCAGUAUUCUU